GCCUGGAUGGCUCAAUCGGUUGAGUGUCUGACUUCGGCUCAGGUCGUGAUCUCACAGCUUGUAGGUUCAAGCCCCGCGUCAGGCU
rnacentral:tRNA from 1 species